GAAUUCGCCCUUAGAGUUUGAUCCUGGCUCAGGAUGAACGCUGGCGGCGUGCCUAACACAUGCAAGUCGAACGGGUGUACGGGAUGGAAGGCUCCGGCCGGAAGCCCCGUGCAUGAGUGGCGGACGGGUGAGUAACGCGUGGGCAACCUGCCCUGUACAGGGGGACAACACUUAGAAAUAGGUGCUAAUACCGCAUAACGGGGGGAGCCGCAUGGCACCCCCCUGAAAACUCCGGUGGUACAGGAUGGGCCCGCGUCUGAUUAGCUAGUUGGCAGGGUAACGGCUCACCAAGGCGAUGACGGGUAGCCGGUCUGAGAGGAUGUCCGGCCACACUGGAACUGAGACACGGUCCAGACACCUACGGGUGGCAGCAGUCGAGAAUCAUUCACAAUGGGGGAAACCCUGAUGGUGCGACGCCGCGUGGGGGAAUGAAGGUCUUCGGAUUGUAAACCCCUGUCAUGUGGGAGCAAAUUAAAAAGAUAGUACCACAAGAGGAAGAGACGGCUAACUCUGUGCCAGCAGCCGCGGUAAUACAGAGGUCUCAAGCGUUGUUCGGAAUCACUGGGCGUAAAGCGUGCGUAGGCUGUUUCGUAAGUCGUGUGUGAAAGGCGCGGGCUCAACCCGCGGACGGCACAUGAUACUGCGAGACUAGAGUAAUGGAGGGGGAACCGGAAUUCUCGGUGUAGCAGUGAAAUGCGUAGAUAUCGAGAGGAACACUCGUGGCGAAGGCGGGUUCCUGGACAUUAACUGACGCUGAGGCACGAAGGCCAGGGGAGCGAAAGGGAUUAGAUACCCCUGUAGUCCUGGCAGUAAACGGUGCACGCUUGGUGUGCGGGGAAUCGACCCCCUGCGUGCCGGAGCUAACGCGUUAAGCGUGCCGCCUGGGGAGUACGGUCGCAAGAUUAAAACUCAAAGAAAUUGACGGGGACCCGCACAAGCGGUGGAGUAUGUGGCUUAAUUCGAUGCAACGCGAAGAACCUUACCUGGGCUUGACAUGUAAUGAACAACAUGUGAAAGCAUGCGACUCUUCGGAGGCGUUACACAGGUGCUGCAUGGCCGUCGUCAGCUCGUGUCGUGAGAUGUUUGGUUAAGUCCAGCAACGAGCGCAACCCCUGUUGCCAGUUACCAGCACGUGAAGGUGGGGACUCUGGCGAGACUGCCCAGAUCAACUGGGAGGAAGGUGGGGACGACGUCAGGUCAGUAUGGCCCUUAUGCCCAGGGCUGCACACGUACUACAAUGCCCAGUACAGAGGGGGCCGAAGCCGCGAGGCGGAGGAAAUCCUAAAAACUGGGCCCAGUUCGGACUGUAGGCUGCAACCCGCCUACACGAAGCCGGAAUCGCUAGUAAUGGCGCAUCAGCUACGGCGCCGUGAAUACGUUCCCGGGUCUUGCACACACCGCCCGUCA
rnacentral:rRNA from 1 species